rnacentral:rRNA from 1 species
CCUACGGGUGGCAGCAGUAGGGAAUCUUCCACAAUGGGGGAAACCCUGAUGCAGCGACGCCGCGUGAGUGAAGAAGUAUCUCGGUACGUAAAGCUCUAUCAGCAGGGAAGAAAAUGACGGUACCUGACUAAGAAGCCCCGGCUAACUACGUGCCAGCAGCCGCGGUAAUACGUAGGGGGCAAGCGUUAUCCGGAUUUACUGGGUGUAAAGGGAGCGUAGACGGCAGCACAAGUCUGGAGUGAAAUCCCGGGGCUUAACCCCGGAACUGCUUUGGAAACUGUGCGGCUGGAGUGCAGGAGGGGUAAGUGGAAUUCCUAGUGUAGCGGUGACAUGCGUAGAUAUUAGGAGGAACACCGGUGGCGAAGGCGGCUUACUGGACUGUAACUGACGUUGAGGCUCGAAAGCGUGGGGAGCAAACAGGAUUAGAUACCCCUGUAGUC